CAACCUGCUCCCUGUGGCUGCCGAGUUCUCGGGAACAGCGGCUCGGCCUGCAAGGCUGUUGUUUCAAGAAAUGAAAAUGAAGGGCGCCCUGGAAUAGGUUCGCCGAAGAGAGAGCUUGCAGGCCUCUGGGAAGCAAGCCAUCGUGUGGCAGAGGCCCAGGUGGCAAGGAACCAAGGGCGGCUUCUGGCCAACAGCCAGCGAGGACCUGAGACCGUAGCCCAACACCCCUCCAGGAACUGAAUUUUGCCAGCAACCAGUGAGUGACCUUGGAAGUGGAUCCUUCCCCCGAAAGCCCGGCUUUCAGGUGAAGGUUAUUCGUUGAACCAAUAAUCUCUGAAAUUUUUGGAGUUCCAUGAAGCUUGCACCAACUAUUAUCCCUGAGAUGACCUUGGCUGUGGAACCCAGAUUCUGUUCAGGGCCGAGAGCGCCACCUGGUGAUUCCAGUUUACGGAGGCUGGUGGGACCUCAACCCCAGCUGGUAUCCAGGCUCUUGACACCAUCUGGAGAAGGAAUUCAAGAGUGUGUCAGAAAAUGAUGAAAGUACAAAGAUUUAUUGCAAAGCGAAAAAUACACACUCAAGAAAGGGGAGUAUGGGUGGACUCAAGACAGAGUCCGAUGGGACUUGGGGUUUCUACCUUUUGGGUUUCUUUUUUUUUUUUUUUUGAUAUGGAGUCUCGCACUGUUGCCCAGGCUGGAGCGCAGUGGCGUGAUUUUGGCUCACUGCAACCUCUGCCUCCCGGGUUAAAACGAUUCUCCUGCCUCAGCGUCCCAAGUAGCUGGGAUUACAGGCUCCCACCACCAUGCCCGGCUAAUUUUUGUAUUUUUAGUAGAGACGAGGCCUCACCAUAUUGGCCAGGCUGUUCUCGAACUCCGGACCUUAGGUGAUCUGCCUGCCUCAGCCUCCCAAAGUGCUGGGAUUACAGGCGUGAGCCACCAUGCCCAAUGGGUGUGGGAUUUAGUAUAUUAAUGAGUGUAUAAUGAGGUCCUUGGUGAAACCUACAUCAAAUCCAGCACCGUGUUGGGUCCAGUCUGUCUUAGCCAGCUUGGUCCACACCCUGGUUUUUUAGGGUCUUAUUGGCCCCUUACUUCUGCAGCAAAAGUUUCCUUUUGCUAGUCAUGUGAAACUGCCACCUGGAAUUUUCUAUUCUCUAGUGACCACCCUGUAUUAUUCCUGUCUCACUGGGACCCUAAGAAAUUGGGAAUUCCAACUACACAUCCAAAAUAGUUUGACUAAAACUGUUGAAAAAAGAAAAAAAUAAUGGCAUAAAGUAUUGCUUGACUAAAUUCCAGCCAGGUGCAUUGGCCACUUUAGGUCGGGUGUGGUGGCUCAUGCUUGUAAUCCCAGCAUUUUGGGAGGCUGAGGCGGGAGGAUCACUUGAGGUCAGGAGUUCCAAACCAGUCUGGCCAAAAUGGUAAAACCCCCUCUCUACUAAAAAUACAAAAAUUAGCCGGACCUGGUGGCGGAAGCCUGUAAUCCCAGCUACUCUGGAGGCUGAGGCACGAAAAUUGCUUGAACCCAGGAGGUGGAGGUUGCAUUGAACCAAGAUCAUACCACUGCACUCUAGCCUGUGUGACAGAGAAAGAUUCCGUCUCAAGAAACAAAAA
rnacentral:lncRNA from 1 species